rnacentral:sRNA from 1 species
ACUGUGCAGCGAGAGAGGAGGGAAAGGGGAAGCGUUUGUGCCUCUCUGCCCUCUGUCCGCCUCUUGCUGCAUAGUAGCCACAUCCAUGUCUCUUGUACCCUGCAAUCUGGAGGCCACUGCCAGAAGCUGGAAAUCCCAAGUACAGCAGCAAAAGGCUUGAGGAUGGAUUCUUGGCUACUGGUGCAUUGCCACUCCCUGCGACCCUCCUCCUUGUCUUCUGUCUUCUCCUGGUGGCAUCAGGCCUUGCUUCGUGUCCCAACAGGAGCCUCUGGGGCUGGCACAGCCCUCACCGCCUACAACCUGGGCCUGGUGGUUCUCCUAGGGUGCCUCUGGGAGGUUGUGGCCACCCCGCUGCUGGCUAACUGCAGCUACUUCUGCCAGCCAGUGGACUAGAGAUGGAGCAAGCAUGGAAUGAGGGUAUGGCAGGGAGCAGGAAGCAAGCCUGGAGAGGGUUAAGAGGAACAACUUCACAACAAUCAGAGGGCAAGGAGGCAUCUUCCUGGAGACAGGUAGGCACUGUGGAAUCAGCAGUGCGUAGAACAGUGAGGAAUUAGGGCUGAACCCAGCCCAGGUGGGACAAGCCCUGGCACCAGCCGACUGCAGUCUGAUGGAACUUCCCCUUCCUGCCCAGCAGAUGGCGAGCGUGUGCUGCUGGUGCCUCUUUCCAAAGGAUGUUGAAUUGUUUGACAGCCCUGCCCAGCAUCUAGAAGACCACCUGAAGCUUUCACAUUAUGAGACCUUAGAUCCUGCGAGGGUUUGAAUUUCAAAAGCCUCAAUUAAAGCACACAGUGUUCUUUACUUUAUGAAUGAAACCAGAGCAGCCCACCUUCCUGCAUCUCUACCACCAUGGCACCAUGCCCUGUGAAGGGUGAGCUGGAGUCAAAUACGUAGCAGGCAGCCAGGGUCAGUUUGUGGCCACUGCUGCCUCCUCUUCCUAUGGUCUCCUCACUGAGUGCCCCUUCCCUGUUGGGUUCAACAUGUCUAUGCUCCUGUAAGCCCUCAGCCUCCUCGUUCUCUUCCUCAACUUCUACCACCAGACACACCUGAGAGGCAAGCAAGAGAGGCUAAACUAGGAGCAGGACCCAGGGACUGAAACCAGCACAGCAUCCCCACAGAGAAUUGGGUGGAAGGCAGCAUGGCUUCCAGCUUACUGGUGCCGAGCAGAUUCCCCUGGGUCUCCAUUGUAUCCUCUGAAGGAAGGAGGAGGAUUGCCUUCUGUCCAGAUCUCAGGAUCAAACAAAUAGGUCCAACUUCCUGUGCUCACUUCAGUUAGAGCACUUCUCAUGUGACUUUGUAGCUUUGUGUGCAUCUCCUUCCUCUACUAGACCUAAGCCCCUCACUGGAAGGACUCUCUUAUUCUUGAUGUUCCCCACAUCUGGAAUUUCAAUAAACAUCUCAAUAAAC